rnacentral:sRNA from 1 species
UAUUAGUUCAACUGGAUGAAACAGAAAAAGCCUUUAGUCAGUUUUGGUCUGAGCAUCAUCUGAAGCUUAACCAGUGCCUACAACUACAGCAUUUUGAGCAUGACUUUUGUAAGGCUAAGCUUGCCCUGGAUAAUUUGCUGGAAGAGCAAGCAGAGUUUACAGGCAUUGGAGACAGCGUGAUGCACGUGGAGCAACUUCUUAAGGAACACAAAAAACUGGAGGAAAAAAGCCAGGAGCCCCUGGAAAAGGCCCAGCUGCUGGCACUGAUUGGGGACCGGCUCAUCCAAAGCCACCAUUAUGCAGCAGAUGCCAUCAGGCCCCGGUGUGUGGAGCUCAGGCACCUCUGUGACGAUUUCAUCAAUGGAAACAAGAAAAAAUGGGACAUUUUAGGAAAGUCCUUAGAGUUUCAUAGACAACUGGACAAGGUGAGCAAAACACAGCCAAGAACAUGAUGUCUGCAAGAUUUUCUGUGAAGAAGCUUCCAUCAUACUUGUCCUCCCUUCCUUGCAUGAUUGCUGAGAGGCUCGAGUGCUUUAUAUGAAAAGAUGUUCAAGAGGCAUUAAAAACUGCAGAUCCUAGGUUGUAGAGGUACUGAAGGUAAAAAGUGCUCUGGCCAUCCCACCACAUCCCAUUAAAGUUAACUAAAGCCCA